AUUGAACGCUGGCGGCAGGCUUAACACAUGCAAGUCGAGCGGAGAUGAGGUGCUUGCACCUUAUCUUAGCGGCGGACGGGUGAGUAAUGCUUAGGAAUCUGCCAUUUAGUGGGGGGCAACAUUCCGAAAGGAAUGCUAAUACCGCAUACGUCCUACGGGAGAAAGCAGGGGAUCUUCGGACCUUGCGCUAAAUGAUGAGCCUAAGUCGGAUUAGCUAGUUGGUGGGGUAAAGGCCUACCAAGGCGACGAUCUGUAGCGGGUCUGAGAGGAUGGUACGCCACCCUGGGACUGGGACACGGCCCAGACUCCUACGGGAGGCAGCAGUGGGGAAUAUUGGACAAUGGGCGGAAGCCUGAUCCAGCCAUGCCGCGUGUGUGAAGAAGGCCUUUUGGUUGUAAAGCACUUUAAGCGAGGAGGAGGCUACUAGUACUAAUACUACUGGAUAGUGGACGUUACUCGCAGAAUAAGCACCGGCUAACUCUGUGCCAGCCGCCGCGGUAAAAC
rnacentral:rRNA from 1 species